CUUGUCUCGGGUACUGAGACCCGAGGCCGGGCGGCCGGGCGGCCGGGCGGCAGGGUGGGGAGGGAUGGGCGUGAGCGCGGAGCCUCGGAGCCUCUCAGUCGCCCGGGCCGGGCUCGCGUCCCCCGUGAUCGAGAAGGCGCGCUCGGCGCUGCUGCCGUCGCAGGAUGUAGAGGACACAGUGGAGACGCUCAUGAUCCUAUAACCAGGUAGCCUGGGCGCUGGCAGCUAAAACUCCAUGUUGCAUAAGGAGACGGUCAGUAGUCUUUCAGGCGUGCCGGAUAAGGAAGUGUGUUACAUCCAGUGAUUAAGGCUUUCCUCUGCGGCUCCAUCAGCGGAACCUGUUCCACGCUCCUCUUCCAGCCUCUGGACCUCCUCAAAACCCGCCUGCAGACCCUGCAGCCCUCAGACGUAGGGCCCAGGCGUGUUGGGAUGCUGUCUGUGUUCUUGAAGGUGGUUCGCACAGAAAGUCUUCUGGGCCUUUGGAAAGGGAUGUCUCCUUCCAUUGUGAGAUGUGUCCCUGGCGUUGGAAUCUACUUUGGCACCCUGUAUUCUUCUAAGCAGUAUUUCUUGCGAGGCCAUCCUCCCACUGCCCUGGAAUCGGUCAUCCUGGGCAUGGGAUCUCGCUCUGUGGCAGGAGUUUGCAUGUCACCCAUCACAGUGGUCAAGACACGCUAUGAGAGUGGGGCUUACAGCUACGA
rnacentral:lncRNA from 1 species